AGGAUAAACGCUGGCGGCGUGCUUCAGGCAUGCAAGUCGAACGAACACUUCGGUGUUAGUGGCGGACGGGUGAGUAACACGUAAGUAACCUGCCCAGAAGUGGGGAAUAACUAGCCGAAAGGUUGGCUAAUACCGCAUGCGAUGGCACUUCCCUGGAGGGUCAUCAAAGGAUUUAUUCGCUUUUGGAGGGCUUGCGGCCGAUUAGCUUGGUUGGUGGGGUAAUCGGCCUACCGAAGGCGGUGACGGGUAGCC
rnacentral:rRNA from 1 species